rnacentral:rRNA from 1 species
UCCCAGACUCCUACGGGAGGCAGCAGUGGGGAAUAUUGCACAAUGGGGGGAACCCUGAUGCAGCAACGCCGCGUGAGUGAGGAAGUAUUUCGGUAUGUAAAGCUCUAUCAGCAGGGAAUAGAAAAGAAGGUACCUGAAAAAGAAGCCCCGGCUAACUACGUGCCAGCAGCCGCGGUAAUACGUAGGGGGCAAGCGUUAUCCGGAUUUACUGGGUGUAAAGGGAGCGUAGACGGAAAGGCAAGUCAGAAGUGAAAGCCCAAGGCUCAACCAUGGGACUGCUUUUGAAACUGUCAAACUAGAGUACGGGAGAGGUAAGAGGAAUUCCUAGUGUAGCGGUGAAAUGCGUAGAUAUUAGGAGGAACACCAGUGGCGAAGGCGGCUUACUGGACUGUAACUGACGUUGAGGCUCGAAAGCGUGGGGAGCAAACAGGAUUAGAUACCCCAGUA